ACGUAGGGGGCGAGCGUUGUCCGGAUUUAUUGGGCGUAAAGGGCGUGUAGGCGGUCUGUUAAGUCAGAGGUGAAAAUCCAGGGCUCAACCCUGGAACUGCCUCUGAAACUGGUGGACUUGAGUGCUCUAGAGGGCAGUGGAAUUCCCGGUGUAGCAGUGAAAUGCGUAGAGAUCGGGAGGAACACCAGUGGCGAAGGCGGAUCUCUGGACGGCUAACUGACGCUGAGGCGCGAAGGCCAGGGGAGUAAACGGGA
rnacentral:rRNA from 1 species